UCUAACGUGGCAGAUAAGUGCAUUGGAUUUAAGCUCCAAAAACAAAGUGCUAUAAACUUUCAUUAGAA
rnacentral:tRNA from 1 species